AUUGAACGCUGGCGGCAUGCCUUACACAUGCAAGUCGAACGGUAACAGGUCUUCGGAUGCUGACGAGUGGCGAACGGGUGAGUAAUACAUCGGAACGUGCCUAGUAGUGGGGGAUAACUACUCGAGAGAGUGGCUACUACCGCAUGAGAUCUACGGAUGAAAGCAGGGGAUCGAAAGACCUUGCGCUACUAGAGCGGCCGAUGGCAGAUUAGGUAGUUGGUGGGAUAAAAGCUUACCAAGCCGACGAUCUGUAGCUGGUCUGAGAGGACGAUCAGCCACACUGGGACUGAGACACGGCCCAGACUCCUACGGGAGGCAGCAGUGGGGAAUUUUGGACAAUGGGCGCAAGCCUGAUCCAGCAAUGCCGCGUGCAGGAUGAAGGCCUUCGGGUUGUAAACUGCUUUUGUACGGAACGAAAAGCCCUGGGUUAAUACCCUGGGGUCAUGACGGUACCGUAAGAAUAAGCACCGGCUAACUACGUGCCAGCCGCCGCCGUAACAC
rnacentral:rRNA from 1 species